UGGGGAAUAUUGCACAAUGGGCGCAAGCCUGAUGCAGCCAUGCCGCGUGUGUGAAGAAGGCCUUCGGGUUGUAAAGCACUUUCAGCGGGGAGGAAGGCGUUAAGGUUAAUAACCUUGGCGAUUGACGUUACCCGCAGAAGAAGCACCGGCUAACUCCGUGCCAGCAGCCGCGGUAAUACGGAGGGUGCAAGCGUUAAUCGGAAUUACUGGGCGUAAAGCGCACGCAGGCGGUCUGUUAAGUCGGAUGUGAAAUCCCCGGGCUCAACCUGGGAACUGCAUUCGAAACUGGCCGGCUUGAGUCUUGUAGAGGUGGGUGGAAUUCCAGGUGUAGCGGUGAAAUGCGUAGAGAUCUGGGGGAAUACCGGUGGCGAAGGCGGCCCCCUGGACAAAAACUGACGCUGAGGUACGAAAGCGUGGGGAGCAAACAGG
rnacentral:rRNA from 1 species